rnacentral:misc_RNA from 1 species
AAUUCUCAACCUCUAACACUUUUGUGAAAGGAGGCUUGGACUUGGAGGCUGUGUCGGCGCGAGUCGACUCCUCUCAAAUGUAUUAGCGUGAAUCUUACGGAUCGCCUUCAGUGUGAUAAUUAUCUGCGCUGUGGGUGUUGAAGUACCAAUAGUGUUCGUGCUUACAAACCGUCCGCAAGGACAAUCUAUUGACA